AAACUUGUUCCACCUAGUGUACAGAGCACAACUACAUAUCCCUUGAGAAAUGGCAAUGACAUCAUUGUUCCUUUUUGUAGAUUAUCUCUUACUAAAGAAUCUUUUAUACCAUCAACUAUUAACCUAUGGAAUCAUACCGAUUUGUCCCUUCGAAAAUCAGACUCUAUAGCAAAGUUUAAAAUCCAAUUAAAAAGGUUAAAUACCCCAAAUAAAGAUGUACCAAAGCACUUUCUAUAUGGACCGAGGAAACUAAAUAUGAUUUUAACACAA
rnacentral:lncRNA from 1 species